rnacentral:rRNA from 1 species
CCUGAUUUCCAUGCCGAACUCAGAAGUGAAACGAAUUAGCGCCGAUGGUAGUGUGGGGUUUCCCCAUGUGAGAGUAGGACAUCGCCAGGC